UGAAUACGAGAUGCUACGGCGUCGAAGCAGUGUAUGUCAGACUUCCAAGAAAAGCUCGCAAUGUCAUAAAUAAAGAAUGCCUGUACCAUAACCGACACAGGUGGGUAGGUAGAGUAUACUAAGGGGCGCGAGAUAACUCUCUCUAAGGAACUCGGCAAAAUAACUCCGUAACUUCGGGAGAAGGAGUGCCUUCUUUAAGAAGGUUGCAAUAGCAAGAUCCAAGCAACUGUUUAUCAAAAACACAGGUCUCCGCUAAGUCGUAAGACGAUGUAUGGGGGCUGACGCCUGCCCAGUGCCAGAAGGUUAAAGAAGUUGGUUAGCUUUUGCGAAGCUGAUGACUGAAGCCCUGGUGAACGGCGGCCGUAACUAUAACGGUCCUAAGGUAGCGAAAUUCCUUGUCGGGUAAGUUCCGACCCGCACGAAAGGCGUAAUGAUUUGGAUACUGUCUCGGAGAGGGACUCGGUGAAAUAGACUUGUCUGUGAAGAUGCGGACUACCUGCACCAGGACAGAAAGACCCUAUGAAGCUUUACUGUAACUUGAAAUUGAAAUUGGACUUUAUUUGCGCAGUAUAGGUGGAAGGCGUUGAAAGUAAUCUUGCGGGAUUAGUGGAGCCAUCAGUGAGAUACCACUCCUAUAAUGUUAGAUUUCUAACUUUGGAUCAUGAUCUGGUCAAAGAACAGUUUCAGGCGGGCAGUUUGACUGGGGCGGUCGCCUCCCAAAUGGUAACGGAGGCGUACAAAGGUUUCCUCUGAACGGGUAGAAAUCGUAUCUAGAGUGUAAAGGCAUAAGGAAGCUUGACUGUGAGACCUACAAGUCGAGCAGGGACGAAAGUCGGUCUUAGUGAUCUGACGGUGCUGAGUGGAAAGGCCGUCACUCAACGGAUAAAAGUUACUCUAGGAUAACAGGCUGAUCUCCCCCAAGAGUUCACAUCGACGGGGAGGUUUGGCACCUCGAUGUCGGCUCAUCGCAUCCUGGGGCGGUAGUACGUCCCAAGGGUUGGGCUGUUCGCCCAUGAAAGCGGUACGCGAGCUGGGUUCAGAACGUCGUGAGACAGUUCGGUCCAUAUCCGGUGUAGGCGUUAGAAUAUUGAGAGGAGCCUUCUUUAGUACGAGAGGACCGAGAAGGACAUACCUCUGGUGUACCAGUUAUCGUGCCAACGGUAAACGCUGGGUAGCUAUGUAUGGAGAGGAUAACCGCUGAAAGCAUCUAAGUGGGAAGCCCACCUCAAGAUGAG
rnacentral:rRNA from 1 species